rnacentral:rRNA from 1 species
UACGGAGGGUGCAAGCGUUGUCCGGAUUUAUUGGGUUUAAAGGGUGCGUAGGCUGCGGUUUAAGUCAGCGGUGAAAGUUUGGGGCUCAACCUUAAAAACGCCGAUGAUACUGGACUGCUUGAGUGCCGGUAGGGUACAUGGAAUUUAUGGUGUAGCGGUGAAAUGCAUAGAUACCAUAAGGAACACCGAUAGCGUAGGCAUUGUACUGACCGGCAACUGACGCUGAUGCACGAAAGCGUGGGUAG